GAUGGUGUAGCUCAGUGGUAGAGCGGUUGACUGUUAGUCUACUGGUCGGUGGUUCGAAUCCACCCACCAUCGCCA
rnacentral:tRNA from 2 species